AUUGAACGCUGGCGGCAUGCUUUACACAUGCAAGUCGAACGGUAACAGGCCUUCGGGUGCUGACGAGUGGCGAACGGGUGAGUAAUGCAUCGGAACGUACCCAGAGGUGGGGGAUAACGCAGCGAAAGCUGUGCUAAUACCGCAUGUGAUCUGAGGAUGAAAGCGGGGGACCGAGCAGCAAUGUUCGGCCUCGCGCCUUUGGAGCGGCCGAUGCCGGAUUAGCUAGUUGGUGGGGUAAAGGCUUACCAAGGCGACGAUGCGUAGCUGGUCUGAGAGGACGAUCAGCCACACUGGAACUGAGACACGGCCCAGACUCCUACGGGAGGCAGCAGUGGGGAAUUUUGGACAAUGGGCGAAAGCCUGACGCAGCAAUGCCGCGUGAGUGAAGAAGGCCUUCGGAUUGUAAACCGCUGUUGGCAGGAACGAAACAAUGUCCGAGUAUCCCGGGCGCUAAUGACGGUACCUGCAGAAAAAGCACCGGCUAACUACGUG
rnacentral:rRNA from 1 species